GAUGAACGCUGGCGGCGUGCCUAAUACAUGCAAGUCGAGCGAACGGACGAGAAGCUUGCUUCUCUGAUGUUAGCGGCGGACGGGUGAGUAACACGUGUAUAACCUACCUAUAAGUCUGGGAUAACUUCGGGAAACCGGAGCUAAUACCGUAUAAUAUUUUGAACCGCAUGGUUCAAAAGUGAAAGACGGUCUUUCUGUCACUUAUAGAUGGAUCCGCGCUUCAUUAGCUAGUUGGUAAGGUAACGGCUUACCAAGGCAACGAUGCAUAGCCGACCUGAGAGGGGGAUCGGCCGCACGAGAACUGAGACACGGUCCAGACUCCUACGGGAGGCAGCAGUAGGGAAUCUUCCGCAAUGGGCGAAAGCCUGACGGAGCAACGCCGCGUGAGUGAUGAAGGUCUUCGGAUCGUAAAACUCUGUUAUUAGGGAAGAACAGAUGUGUAAGUAAAUGUGCACAUCUUGACGGUACCUAAUCAGAAAGCCACGGCUAACUACGUG
rnacentral:rRNA from 1 species